AUCUCGAUGGUGUAACGGAUCGCACAGGACUCUCCUAAAGUCCAAGUUUUGGUUCGAUUCCAGGUCGAGAUAC
rnacentral:tRNA from 1 species